AACGAACGCUGGCGGCAGGCUUAACACAUGCAAGUCGAACGCGUGCAGCAAUGCACGAGUGGCGCACGGGUGAGUAACGAGUGGAUAUCUGCCUUUUGGUUCGGAAUAACCCCGGGAAACUGGGGCUAAUACCGGAUGGUUCCUACGGGAUAAAGAUUUAUCGCCAAAAGAUGAGUCCGCGUCCGAUUAGCUAGUUGGUGAGGUAAUGGCUCACCAAGGCGACGAUCGGUAGCUGGUCUGAGAGGACGAUCAGCCACACUGGGACUGAGACACGGCCCAGACUCCUACGGGAGGCAGCAGUGGGGAAUAUUGGGCAAUGGGGGCAACCCUGAUCCAGCCAUGCCGCGUGAGUGAUGAAGGCCUUCGGGUUGUAAAGCUCUUUUGGCGGGGACGAUGAUGACGGUACCCGCAGAAUAAGCCCCGGCUAACUUCGUG
rnacentral:rRNA from 1 species